rnacentral:tRNA from 1 species
GGGCUGGGGCUCAGUGGUAGAGCGCUUGCCUUGCACAUGUGAGGCACUGGGUUCGAUCCUCAGCACCCCA